rnacentral:rRNA from 1 species
AACGAACGCUGGCGGCAUGCCUAACACAUGCAAGUCGAACGAACCCUUCGGGGUCAGUGGCGCACGGGUGCGUAACGCGUGGGAAUCUGCCCUUGGCGUCGGAAUAACUCUGGGAAACUUGUGCUAAUACCGGAUGAUGUCUUCGGACCAAAGAUUUAUCGGCAAGGGAUGAGCCCGCGUAGGAGUAGGUAGUGGGUGGGGUAAAGGCCUCUCAAGCCGACGAUCCUUAGCUGGUCAGAGAGGAUGGUCAGCGACACUGAGACUAAGACACGGCCCAGACUCCUACGCAAUGCAGCAAUGCCUAAUAUAGCAACAUCGCCUCAAUCAUGAACCACCUAUGACCCUUAAAUUAUGAAAUUCCUCAAGUCCUAAAGUUCAUUUAACAAUGCUCAUAAUGACAGUACCUAAACAAUAAGCCACGGCUAACUCCGUG